CUAAUUCGAUCAAUCUAACACUACUAAAAGCCCGAUAUACUGAACAGAGAGCUAUGACACGUAGGAUAGUUUAUUCGGGCCAAUCAGAAACAUGUCUUUUGCCACGUCAGACAGACCUUUCAUUAUUUUACGUGUUAUUGGGCUGUGUCAAUGAAAGCAUAAUCGGCCCGAUAACUCUGAGUUCCGCUAACCACGGCUGCAGCAAAGAACGGAGUUCGUCUCUUCUAUUCGUUGUGACGGCGAGGCUGUGACUUUUGCAAUUCUUCUUGCGAUCUGAAACAGUCAUUAAUGGCUUCAUGAUAAUCCAAUUGAUUCGUUUCUCCACGAUUCAUCUUUAAUACUUUGCUUAGAUCUGAAAGGUGGUGUGUAAACGAUAUAAAUAGAAGUGAGUAUUGAUCUUCUUGAACUCAUCCUCUCUUCGUAUCUCUUACAAUAUACUAAUUCACGGUGUUAAUGUAAUCCUAACGCCGUUGGUAACUGUUUCAAUCAUGUUGCUUCCUCUGGACCGAUGAUGAUCGCGAACCUGAAACGAGCUCUUCGGGUGUCGUGUUGACCUGUAGCGGAGCAGGAGCAGUAUGUAUCUCCGAGCAAGCCACACAGCAGGAGGAGGAGACAGUUCAAACAUGUCUUCUUCCAUGAUCAAGAGACUCCACCGUUGAUGCAACAGCAAAGCGGUUUGUUAGGAGAUGGAUUAUUAAGAACGACGUCAUACCAAAUACCAGGUUUAAACUGAUACAGAGCAUCAUGGAGAGUGCAUAAAGAAUAUUCAGAAUACGGAAAAAGAUCACAAGAGUAUGAAAAAGGCAAGAGAUUGUGUAUGAUAGAGUCUGGUGUACUCAGGUCGAAAUAUCUGGUACAUCAAGCAAGCUUGGGAAAGGUUAAUUGCUCGAGCCUCAGAAGAGUGUGAUGCCAUACGAGAGUCUCAUUUGUGCCUUUGUUAUCUGGAAUUGUACACAAACAGAAACAAACACACUUGAGAACAAGAAUCCUCAGCAAUUUGGAAGGGGCUCUUUACAAGGUUUUAACCUGGCCAAAAUUCAUUCCUUCGCUCUUGGAUGAGAUUAACUGGCAGAAGAGAAUAUGAUGGAAUCUGUAUAUAUUUCCGUCUGGCCAGUUUCGUCAAUAACCACACACAUUAUUCUUUGUCUUUAAAGUGUUACCAAUGCGAUGAUGACUUUUGUUUUAUCUCCGACUUGCAACACUACAAACCAGCAUUAAGACGCCAGAGGCAUGGUUAUUAUUGGUCUCAACACCGAAUGUUCAAUUCAUCCAACUUUAUGUGGAUUCUUUCAAGUCGUGCAUGCUUACUUGGUCUGCUUCUUUAUAACAUGUGAUCUUAACGUCAAAUCAUUCGUCUCUGUUAAAUUCUCAGCCAAAUAUGUAAUGAUUGAGCUUUUAGAUAUGAACUACAAAUAAUAAUCCUAUGAAGUAUAGUACAGCAGCGAUAUGACCAAAUUUCAUUUUAUACUUGGUCCACUCAUUCUCUGGUUUCCAAUUUGAGACUCUAUCAACCAUAUGGUCAAAUGUGCAUACAAAUGGGGAGUAGUAUUUUACGGUUUAUUUGGAGGAGAGCAAUUUGUCUCCAAAGUUCGUCCCUAAAAAAAACAAUUUGUCUCCAAAAAAAGAUAUAACUAAAUCUUUAUGUAACAUAUUAACUUCCUUGAUCAUGACAUAUGUCUUCUCAAAUUCGUCUCCCUUCUCAAUGCAUUACGUACAAAGAGGCUAUAGCUAAUAAGUAAUAACUCGACUAGGAUAUGAUACUUCUUUUGUUAUGAUAAUUAUUAUUGGAAUUACAAAGGUCCAAAAUCCGGCAAAAAAAUUGAAAUUGGUUUUCUCAAAAAAAUAAAUAAAUUGAAAUUUGUUAUUUUCAAGUCGCCAUAUUCAUCUGUUAUUUUCAAAUAUACAUAUGGAAUACACAGGUGGCACUGUACAUGUGAUGUAUGGUUACAUAUUAUAUGCAUUCGAGUUUUUUCAUCUAUUAUUUGUUGAAUCAAUUUAAUUGGUUAUACAUUUUACAAUAUUUUACAUCAAAACAUAUAUAAAUAAGAUAAACAAAUAUUUAUAUAAUGGGUCCAAUUAGUUGAAGCUUUUUAUCUAAAAGUACGAAAAGUUUUAAACCGCUGAUUUAAGAAAAAAAUAAAACAUAAAAAUAUAGGGUUGUAGAUUUAAGGGGAGGGUCCAUUAAACAACUUGGAUACAAAUUAGAAACAAAAACCAUAAUCAGUUUUAAGUGAAAUGAAACAUUUAUAUAGUUCAACCAAUUAAACACCAUAACUAAAAAUUAAUAAUAAUUAAUAAUUUUUGUUUAUUCUACUCAUCACCUUAUAUAUAAUUUAUAAUAACAAAAAAUGAAUAGAAAAUUUUUUGAAAUGUGCAAAACAGAAAGAAUGAAUAAUUUAAAAUGAUUUUAUAAUUGUUUGUCUACUUAUAUUUUUAUAAUAGAUUAUAAUCACUACUAUAUAAAAGAAGCUAUUUUUGGAGCUUCUAAGGGGUGCCACGUCAGCAUAAAUAUUCUCAUCCAAUCAAUGAACCAUGUCAUUUUAAAUUUCAUAGAUUAUUUUGCUUCUCCAAAAAUACAAGCUAUGUUCUGACUAAAUUAAAACUCAUUUACAAAAACCCAACGAAAUCAUUAAAAAUCUCAUCUAAAGAAAGGCCCAUGCCGACCCUUUAUCUUCCUCCUCACCUUGGAAACCUAUUUUAAUCUGUAAGCAGAGACGACAGCUUCGGAGACGGAGCUACAGUUCUGUCUGAUUGUGAAUGUUGUGUUCCUUGCGUACUGAUGAGGAGUCGUGGUGAGACAAGAACAGUUCUUUCGAACGUAGACGUCACCGGAGGUUAUAUCGGCUGUUAUGUCGGAGGGUAAUGCGUCGAACAUGCUUUGGAUUAUGGGGAAGGUUUUGGUUUUUGUUCGGUUUGAAAGCGAGGAAAGAAGUGCAGAGAUGGGAAGUGUCGGAGCAGUUCAUCGGCUUCGAGGAGGAGAGGAGAGGUAAGAUGAAGAAGGAAAGAACCUAGAAAGUAGAAGUUGCUAGAGUCAUCGAAAGGUUUGAUUUUUCUUAGGGAUUAAGAAGAAAGAUUGUUGAUUUUGUGAAAUUGAAAGGUGAAUCAAGAUGGGUUUUGAUUGGUUUUGUUAAUGGAGAUGUGAGAAAGAAGUUGAAAUCAGAUGAAAUCUCAGUCAUGGGAGAAGAGUGAAGCUCACAGUUUCUGAAGGACUUUUUGAUUAGAUAUUUAGUGUAUUUAAUUAGGUUAGGUGUUUGUUAGUUUUGUACCUAAUACUUAUGUUGGAUUUAUAUUAUUUUUGUCCGAACC